UACGGGGGGGGCAAGCGUUGUUCGGAAUUACUGGGCGUAAAGGGCUCGUAGGCGGCCAACUAAGUCGGACGUGAAAUCCCUCGGCUUAACCGGGGAACUGCGUCCGAUACUGGAUGGCUUGAGAUUGGGAGAGGGAUGCGGAAUUCCAGGUGUAGCGGUGAAAUGCGUAGAUAUCGGAAGGAACAUCAGUGGCGAAAGCGGCUUCCUGGACCAGCACCGACGUUCAGGCACGAAAGCGUGGGGAGCAAACAGG
rnacentral:rRNA from 1 species